rnacentral:tmRNA from 1 species
GCAUCGACUGCGCCCGGAGAAUGUCUGGACGGUCUUUCAAGGACGCGGGUUCAAUUCCCGCCAUCUCCACUA